UUCUCCAUAAUCACUAUCAUUUAUCUUUUCAAGUUAAUAUCUUCUUUAGCUAUAGCACAUACCAAACAUGGCUCUAGCCAUUUCUUUAUCCACCCUUCUCUUCCUUUUCUUCUUUACUCUAUCAUCUGCCAUGGACAUGUCAAUUAUCCGCUAUAACUAUGAUCAUCAUCCUAAAAGCUGGAGAAGCGAUGUCGAGGUCAUGAACAUGUACAACUGGUGGCUUGCAAAGCAUGGUAAAACUUACAAUAAGAUUGGGGAGAGGGAGGAGAGGUUUGAGAUCUUUAAGAAUAACUUGAGGUUCAUCGAUGAACACAACUCUAAAAAUCGUACCUAUAAGGUUGGAUUGACUAGGUUUGCUGAUCUUACCAAUGAAGAGUACCGUGCCAUGUUCUUGGGCACAAAGAGUGAUCCUAAGCGUAGAGUAAUGAAGUCUAAAAACCCCAGCCGUAGGUAUGCUUUUAAGGCCACUGACGAAUUGCCAGAGUCCGUCGAUUGGAGAAAGGAAGGAGCUGUUAAUCCCAUCAAAGAUCAAGGAAGUUGUGGUAGCUGCUGGGCAUUCUCAACCAUAGCUGCAGUAGAAGGAAUAAACAAGAUAGUGACAGGGGAACUAAUCUCUCUAUCAGAACAAGAAUUGGUAGACUGUGACAGAUCAUACGAUGCAGGUUGCAAUGGAGGCCUCAUGGACAACGCCUUCCAGUUCAUCCUCCAGAAUGGUGGCAUUGACACCGAACAAGAUUAUCCAUACCUCGCCGUUGAUGGCACUUGUGACCCAACCAAGGUGAAUAAUAAGGCUGUUACCAUUGAUGGGUUUGAGGAUGUUAUUCCUUUCGAUGAGAAAGCUUUGCAGAAAGCUGUGGCAAAUCAACCUGUCAGUGUUGCAAUUGAAGCCAGCGGCAUGCCUUUGCAGUUCUACCAGUCGGGUGUGUUCAGUGGUGAAUGUGGAUCAGCUCUAGACCAUGGAGUGGUCAUUGUUGGAUAUGGAACAGAUCAAAAUGGCAUGGAUUACUGGAUUGUUAGGAAUUCAUGGGGCCGAGACUGGGGUGAGAAUGGAUAUAUCAGGAUCCAGCGCAAUGUGGUUGACACAUACGCUGGCAAAUGUGGAAUUGCAAUGGAAUCCUCUUAUCCCAUCAAGAAUGCCCAGAACCCUUCUCAAACUUCUGAGGCUGCUGAGAAGAUCAACAGCGCUUGAAGCUUCCUCUUGCCUCUUUCAAGAAAAGGGUACAAAGAAAGAUCAACAAAGGUGUGAAUUAUGAUGGCUACUUGAUUUAUUAUGUCCUGUAAUAAGGAAAAAUUGGGUGUUUGUGUUUGUUUGGAAUGUUGUUGUCGUAUAUAGCUUUACAUUGUCAAAACAUCACCUGAAAAAA
rnacentral:misc_RNA from 1 species